AUUAAUCUUGGAAUUCAUAUUUUUUAAAACAAAAAUUAUAUAUUGGAAGAGUUGCAAAAUAUAUUUUAUUAGACGGCCGAGUUGCACCAAAUUGGCAACGCCAACGCCACUCAUCUUCCACCAAAGAACGUUUGGCCUUGGCCUUGGCCCUGCUCUCUGCUGUUCAUUUGCAAAUUUUCUCAUAGGACUUCGAAAGGUGUAAUGAGAAUUUGCAGUUCGUCGCGUCAAACUUUGAAGAAAAUUUAUUGAAAUUGUAGAUUUAAUUCAUAGAUCUAGAAAAGUGGGAAGGACAUUCCAUUACCAGCACGUGAUCGAUCCAGGUCGACGGUUCGCCAGAUCUCCGUGGAUUACAACAAGUGGUUUCUAUUAAUGUCUUACCUUGGUAUGUGGUUGAUGGCAAUUGAAGUAAACCUUAUCUACUUGCCUGUGUGGGAAGACUAGCAAUUGGUAAAUUGAGUUGAAAUUGUAGUUUUAUUCAAUAUUUAUCAAGUGAAUUGUUUUCUAAUGGAUCUUCCUAGUUACAAAUUUUCUCUAGUCCAUUACCUGGGUGAUUUUGUUUUGAUCUUUAUUUAAGUAGAACAAUAUCUUCAUCAAUUUAAGCUUGAACUCUUUAAUUUAUUCUGUUGGGUUGUGCCAAUUGAUGCUCCCUUUAGUGUAGCGUUUCACUUUAAACUAAUAACAUUUUAAAAAUUGUAUUAUUUCACUUUGCUUUGAAGCAGGUGGUUGGUGUUUGUUGGAGCAGUCUAUGAGAAAACCAAAAAUGUUGAGAACAUAGAAGACCAUGUCCUGCCAAAGAAAUCUGUCAUUCUGUCCUCCAACCCACUAAAUGUGGUAUGGUAUCACGUCAGAUUUGUUAAGUUUGCAUUCCCUUCUUGCAUCCUAAGAAAGCAUUUUCCACUUCGGAAUGAAAAGCAUGCAACCAAUUUCCAGCUCCAGACAGGUAUCAGUAUGCCUUGCAUACGCGGUAGCGCUUAUGUCCUCCGGCCGCCAGGUGGCGAGAGCGUCGCGUCAAAACUCAGACAUUUUCACAUUUUCCAGCCACCGACUGAAAAUGUCUUCCAAAUUCAUCAUGGUCAUAAAAACUAAUUGGCUAAUUGGCAAUGCGUAAUCCAUCCUCCUGUAAUUUCCUUUUGGCGAAAUAAUCUGAUCACGUGGGCCAAAACUGCUGUCCAUUUUGCCGAAUGCCGUCUAGGCGUCUAUUAUUACCUGUACCUGCUGUACGAGUUUGCUGUACGUCUCGUCCCAUGAAGAAGCACUUCAGACCAAUUUAAUUUAUGUUCAGGUCUCAGACUGCUGUGCUGAUAUAUUGCAGAAAUCGAGAACACAGCCAAGUCAUAGCUACAUUGAUGUCGUGGGACCACAUGCUACUAAAUUACUUCUUGCCUAAACAUCAUCCUAUGAACAGGUAACAGCAUAGUGGACAAGGUUUCGAUAGCCAUUUGACGUUGACGGUGUCAAUGGAGAUGCUGAAUUUCACAAUUCAACUCUGCCAAACAGUUUUUCAUAUGGCCUGAAUCUGAAGAUUAAUUUAAUUUGAUUUUGUUUCUAGAUUAUGCUCCCAUAGCUGCUGUCUAAUUUGAUACGUUGUUGCAGCCAUAUGCUGGUGGUAAAAGUCUUUUUGCAUAAAGUUGAACUGUGAUUGUACCUUGAUGACGGUUUCAUGUUGCGGAAGUUUAGAACAGUAUGUUAAAUUGUCAUUUUGCCAAAUAAUAAACAAAUCAUCGCGAUUGGGAAAGCAACGAGGAGGUGGGAGGGAGACUUAAAUAUUUAAAAGAAAUGUUGAGGUGUUUUGUCGAAGAAAUUGACUC
rnacentral:lncRNA from 1 species